rnacentral:tRNA from 1 species
UCGGGCGUAGCUCAACCAGGUAGAGCAGCGGUCUCCAAAGCCGCGCGUUGCAGGUUCAACUCCUGUCGCCCGGG